CACCCCACUCGCGCUCACUCUCUCAAAUGAAUAAAUAAAAUCUUUUUUUUAAAAAGAAAAGAAAAUGUGUGUCAUUCUUCUCCAGGAGUCUCCUUUGCAUUGAAUUAUUUCUCAGUCUCAGUAGGUGGAGGCAGAAGUCCUAAAGGCUCAUUGUAAACUAAAGCAAAAAUGCCCCUUUAUUCCCAAACAAGUAAUCAUUUGCACGUUAACUGUUCAGCAGUCAUUAGUAAGCCCUGUUGUCUGCAUUACACUUUUGUUCACAGGCCAUGCAUCAUCUGCCUGACUCUGCUCACUCAUUCACUUGUCAGGUAUUUAUUGAUGCCAUAGCUCAUUCUCAGGGCUGGUUGUGUGCAACACAAAGAUGAACGGGGGCAGCCUUCCACUGUCUGAGCCUGCAAAAAGAGACAGCUCAGGGAAUGUUACACAACAGGACUCUUCCCAGUUCACUGGUUUCAUUCAAAGCUCAUGGCUUUGUGUCCCAAAACAUCUGCCGCAGCUGCAUUUCCCAGGAAGGAGUGGCAUGUGUGGGUGACAAGCCUUUGGAUGACGAUUUUAUAUAGAACCCGCAGACCUACAAUUAAUUGGAGUCAUGUUGUGCUGGUUAAAAGGCGGACCCUGCCACUUUCAAGCUGUGUGGCCUCGAACAAGUUAUUUCUCUGAGCCGACUUGCCUUCCUGUGAAAGUCAAGAUAAUAAAACCCACGUGGCAGGGUGGCAUGAGGAUUAGCAACAACAUAGGUCAAGUACCUCACACGGUGCCUGGAACAUGGUGGGCCUUCAGCAAAUCAAGGAUUAUUCAAAGCAAGAAGGUCCCAAAUGGGGUCAUGAGUACUAGAAAUCUGAAUGCUGGGGACACACGGAGGAAGGAAUAAUCUCUUCCUAAGAGGGCUUGGUGGAGGCGUGCCCCUCGUGAGGACAUGCCAGCAGACGGACCAAGCUGUACAGAGGGUCAAGAGGGUUAAAGGCCUCACCCAGGGGAAGCCGUUCAAUGUGCCCCUUCUCCUGGGUCUCCAGGGCUUAGGAUUUCUGAGUGACAGGGACUGUUCUACUUCGAACUCUCAGACAGUCUUCUCCAGGUCCUCUCCCAAAUGACCUUUGUACUGUGCUUAGAGAAAAAUUAAAAUCCAAGUGUUAUGGACUGAAUGUUUGCGUCCCCCAUAAUUCAUGUUAAAGCCCUAACCUCUAAUGUGACUGUAUUUGGAGAUAUGAUCUUUAAGGAGGUAAUUAAGGUUCAGUGAGUUCAUAAGAGUGGGGCCCGGAUCCAACAGGACCAGUGUCCAUACAAGAAGGGGAAGAGACACCAGGGAUCUGCAUGUCGAAGACAGGCCAUGCAAGGGCACAGCACGAAGGUGACCAUCGACACCAGAGAAACCAACCCUGUCAACACCUUGAUCUGGGAUUUCCAGCCUCCAGAAAUGUAAGAAAUAAAUUCCGUUGAUUAAGCCA